UGUUGCGAGUUCGAGUCUCGCCGUGGGCGGCUUGAUUUUCUUUUUUUUUCGCUUUUUCUGCUUUGAUUUCCCAUGAUCCAUUUGGCCGAU